rnacentral:rRNA from 1 species
AUUGAACGCUGGCGGCAGGCCUAACACAUGCAAGUCGAGCGGUAGAGAGGUGCUUGCAUCUCUUGAGAGCGGCGGACGGGUGAGUAAUGCCUAGGAAUCUGCCUGGUGGUGGGGGAUAACGUUCGGAAACGGACGCUAAUACCGCAUACGUCCUACGGGAGAAAGCGGGGGAUCUUCGGACCUCGCGCCAUUAGAUGAGCCUAGGUCGGAUUAGCUAGUUGGUGAGGUAAUGGCUCACCAAGGCGACGAUCCGUAACUGGUCUGAGAGGAUGAUCAGUCACACUGGAACUGAGACACGGUCCAGACUCCUACGGGAGGCAGCAGUGGGGAAUAUUGGACAAUGGGCGAAAGCCUGAUCCAGCCAUGCCGCGUGUGUGAAGAAGGUCUUCGGAUUGUAAAGCACUUUAAGUUGGGUAGGAAGGGUAGUAACCUAAUACGUUGCUACUUUGACGUUACCGACAGAAUAAGCACCGGCUAACUUCGUGCCAGCACG